UAGCUAAUACCGCAUAACGUCGCAAGACCAAAGAGGGGGACCUUCGGGCCUCUUGCCAUCGGAUGUGCCCAGAUGGGAUUAGCUUGUUGGUGGGGUAACGGCUCACCAAGGCGACGAUCCCUAGCUGGUCUGAGAGGAUGACCAGCCACACUGGAACUGAGACACGGUCCAGACUCCUACGGGAGGCAGCAGUGGGGAAUAUUGCACAAUGGGCGCAAGCCUGAUGCAGCCAUGCCGCGUGUAUGAAGAAGGCCUUCGGGUUGUAAAGUACUUUCAGCGGGGAGGAAGGGAGUAAAGUUAAUACCUUUGCUCAUUGACGUUACCCGCAGAAGAAGCACCGGCUAACUCCGUGCCAGCAGCCGCGGUAAUACGGAGGGUGCAAGCGUUAAUCGGAAUUACUGGGCGUAAAGCGCACGCAGGCGGUUUGUUAAGUCAGAUGUGAAAUCCCCGGGCUCAACCUGGGAACUGCAUCUGAUACUGGCAAGCUUGAGUCUCGUAGAGGGGGGUAGAAUUCCAGGUGUAGCGGUGAAAU
rnacentral:rRNA from 1 species